rnacentral:piRNA from 1 species
UGCAAUUGGCGACUUUCUUGU